rnacentral:rRNA from 1 species
GAUGAACGCUGGCGGCGUGCCUAAUACAUGCGAGUCGAGCGAACAGACGAGGAGCUUGCUCCUUUGACGUUAACGGCGGACGGGUGAGUAACACGUAAGUAACCUACCUAUACGACUGGGAUAACUUCGGGAAACCGGAGCUAAUACCUGAUAAUAUUUCUAACCGCAUGGUUCGAUAGUGAAAGAUGGCUUUGCUCUCACUUAUAGAUGGACCUGCGCCGUAUUAGCUAGUUGGUAAGGUACCGGCUUACCAAGGCAACGAUACGUAGCCGACCUGAGAGGGUGAUCGUCCACACUAGAACGGAGACACGGUCCAGACUCCUACGGGAGGCAGCAGGAGGGAAUCUUCCGAAAUGGGCGAAAGCCUGACGUAGCAACGCCGCGUGAGUGAUGAAGGUCUGCGGAUCGUAAAACUCUGUUAUUAGGGAAGAACAAACGUGUAAGUAACUGUGCACGUCGUGACGGUACCUAAACAGAAAGCCACGGCUAACUACGUG